AGUUCUUCACUCUACGAUUUAGUUUUGGUUGUGCAGACACUACGACUCUGAGAUCAGAUGUCGACACCCUACGAUCUCUGACCUUAAGCUUGAUGUCUUCAUCUGAUCGAGCUCGACUACGAUCUCUGCCUCUGAUGUGAUCAAUAGACUCUACAACUCUGAGUGUGGUCUACGAUUCUUGACUUAGCUUCGGCAGAUGCUCGGUCGGCUCUUAGACAGGUUGUCUCUACGAUUCUGAACAUGACUUCUUUAGCAGACUACAGCUCCGAGGAAGUUUUCCUCGAUACACUACGAUCCUUCCUCGUCUCUCCUGGCAGUCUAUGAACUCCGAGAUCUACUAUCUUACAGACUACGAUUCUGCCUUGAUAGCUCUCGAGGUUUCUUCAACUCUCCUGACAAACUACGAUUUCUGGUGCAGUACUCGACGAUCAUACAAG
rnacentral:lncRNA from 1 species